UACGAAGGGGGCUAGCGUUGCUCGGAAUCACUGGGCGUAAAGCGCACGUAGGCGGCUUUCUAAGUCAGGGGUGAAAUCCUGGAGCUCAACUCCAGAACUGCCUUUGAUACUGGGAAGCUCGAGUCCGGGAGAGGUGAGUGGAACUGCGAGUGUAGAGGUGAAAUUCGUAGAUAUUGGGAAGAACACCAGUGGCGAAGGCGGCUAACUGGUCCGGUACUGACGCUGAGGUGCGAAAGCGUGGGGAGCAAACAGG
rnacentral:rRNA from 1 species